rnacentral:rRNA from 1 species
UACGUAGGGUGCAAGCGUUGUCCGGAAUUAUUGGGCGUAAAGAGCUUGUAGGCGGUUUUGUCGCGUCUGCUGUGAAAUUUCGGGGCUCAACCCCGAACUUGCAGUGGGUACGGGCAGACUAGAGUGUGGUAGGGGAGACUGGAAUUCCUGGUGUAGCGGUGAAAUGCGCAGAUAUCAGGAGGAACACCGAUGGCGAAGGCAGGUCUCUGGGCCAUAACUGACGCUGAGACGCGAAAGCGUGGGGAGCAAACAGG